UACGAAGGGGCAAGCGUUGUUCGGAAUUACUGGGCGUAAAGGGCGCGCAGGCGGCCAGACAAGUCAGAUGUGAAAGCCCCGGGCUCAACCUGGGAAUAGCAUUUGGGACUGUUUGGCUAGAGAUCGGGAGAGGAGAGUGGAAUUCCCGAGUGUAGAGGUGAAAUUCGUAGAUAUUGGGAAGAACACCGGUGGCGAAGGCGGCUCUCGUGGGACGGUACUGACGCGUGAGACGCGAAAGCGUGGGGAGCGAACGAGG
rnacentral:rRNA from 1 species